rnacentral:rRNA from 1 species
GAUGAACGCUGGCGGCGUGCCUAAUACAUGCAAGUCGAGCGAACAGACGAGGAGCUUGCUCCUCUGACGUUAGCGGCGGACGGGUGAGUAACACGUGGAUAACCUACCUAUAAGACUGGGAUAACUUCGGGAAACCGGAGCUAAUACCGGAUAAUAUAUUGAACCGCAUGGUUCAAUAGUGAAAGACGGUUUUGCUGUCACUUAUAGAUGGAUCCGCGCCGCAUUAGCUAGUUGGUAAGGUAACGGCUUACCAAGGCAACGAUGCGUAGCCGACCUGAGAGGGUGAUCGGCCACACUGGAACUGAGACACGGUCCAGACCCCUACGGGAGGCAGCAGUAGGGAAUCUUCCGCAAUGGGCGAAAGCCUGACGGAGCAACGCCGCGUGAGUGAUGAAGGUCUUCGGAUCGUAAAACACUGUUAUUAGGGAAGAACAAAUGUGUAAGUAACUAUGCACGUCUUGACGGUACCUAAUCAGAAAGCCACGGCUAACUACGUG